UGGGGAAUUUUGGACAAUGGGGGAAACCCUGAUCCAGCCAUUCCGCGUGAGUGAAGAAGGCCUUCGGGUUGUAAAGCUCUUUUGUCCGGAACGAAAAGGCUACGUUUAAUACGCGUGGCUCAUGACGGUACCGGAAGAAUAAGCACCGGCUAACUACGUGCCAGCAGCCGCGGUAAUACGUAGGGUGCGAGCGUUAAUCGGAAUUACUGGGCGUAAAGCGUGCGCAGGCGGUUUUGUAAGCCAGAUGUGAAAUCCCCGGGCUCAACCUGGGAAUGGCAUUUGGGACUGCAAGGCUGGAGUUUGGCAGAGGAGACUGGAAUUCCUGGUGUAGCAGUGAAAUGCGUAGAUAUCAGGAGGAAUACCGAUGGCGAAGGCAGGUCUCUGGGCUAUAACUGACGCUCAUGCACGAAAGCGUGGGGAGCAAACAG
rnacentral:rRNA from 1 species